UAAUUUACAAAAAAACAAAUAUAACACAUAUGUAUACAACGACAACAAUUGAACUUCAUGCUCCUGACUUGAAGCAGGUACAUGAAGAAAAUGCACGUGGUGGAGUUUAACAUGUAUGUGAGCGAUAAAUCAUAACAUAAUAUCGGCCUGUAUCAGUAGUGUAAGAGCACAACACGAGAAAAGAAUGUAAACUAGACAAAGUGAUGCCCCCGCACUCCACUCAUUUAACCGCUUAUACCCCAAAAAGGACAAAGUUCAAUUUUUCUCCCAAAAGAGAAAAAAUAAUAAAAGGAAAAAAAACCUGACCACAUGCACACCUUCAAUACAUGUACAAACAGCCAGUAGAGUGAUAAAUUCCUAGCAUUCAAACUGUAGGAGGAGUUGUCUGGAAACGCCCUACUUAUGCAAGUAAAUUUCCCC
rnacentral:lncRNA from 1 species